rnacentral:lncRNA from 1 species
UUUUUUUUUUUUUUUGCUUUGGCUUAAAUUAUUUAACUUGUCUGUGCUCCAGCUUUUCCAUCUGUGAAGUAUGUCUGAUGAUGUGUGACCCUGUUUAUCUUAUUAGAUGGGUGCUGAGAAGAUAUAAGGUGGGUAGUAGUGCAGUGGGCUACACCAGAGAAACGCAUUUUGAAUAAUGUGGGAAAAUGAGCCUGUUCGAGCCAAGAUAUCACUAACAGGAACAGGAGAGAAUAUGUUAGCUGAAGUUUAUUGUCAAAAUUGCUAACAAAAAGCUUUCUUAGUAAAAACUGAAGGAGAAUAUAUCUGUCUCGUGUGUUUUCCCACAAGAAAGUUAGCAAACACGACCACUUAAUCUGCCAGAAUGGAGAGGCAUGGAAAAGGUCAGCUGAAUUCGGAGGCCUCAGUGCUGGAGAGGGUGGGCCAUAAGAAAGAAAUGCCAGUCCCUCCCUUCCUCGGCAGUGAACUGAGCAUCGAUUAGCUUCCCAUGACAUGCUAAUUUCCCUUUGCUGUCGGUGGCACUAAAUGAAAUCAAAGUUAUUUUUUAAAUUGAAUUUGACCAUCUUAAUGGUCAAACUGGCAGUGUGGCUAGAUCCAGAAACUAUAUGCUCAAUGACUCCCUGAGACGUGGGGGAUGAAACAGAACUCCUCAGCAUGAUUUACAGACAUCCUAGUGCACAGAGAUGAGAAAAGACACUUACGUGGUGUGACAAUCACUUUGAGGAGGACCCAAAAUGCAGCACCCUCGCCAAGCCUGUCUGUCCACAGUGGCUGACUCGACUACAAAGAGUCUGCCACUGCUUCAGAGACACGUGUCUCAGAUCCCAAGCUGGAAGCUACGGUGUCCCAGACAGGAGAGGAUUCAGACUCAUGAGUCACGAAAACCAUGGUGUUCCUUACUCCAUGCGGACCUUCCUCCCAAGGUUCUUCCUCAUGCAGGGCCCCCAGCUCCAGCCUUCACGUGGGCAUUGGGUAGCCCAUGGCGGCUGCCUCCCCCUCUGGGUGGGGGGUACUCUGCUGGGGCCCGUCAGCAGGAGAGAUUCCCUCAGGCACCGGAGCCAUCUGAGGAUCACUCAAGGAGCUAAGAAACUCCUCAGCAACACAACUGACAGGCUAAAGAGGCGGGCAGCAGCGUGUGUUGGGGUUCGUGCUGUGGGGGGGAAGGUGGCCAGGAAUCAAAGGAGAGAGAGUCAGAGGUGGAAGGAACAGACCUGGAGUUGUAGGGUCCAAAGAGAAAAGUGAGAAGGAGUAGAUAGACACCACCAGCUGAUGUCAAAAGGUGUCAUGCUCUGCUUUGUGGGAACACAUGAGUGAGUUCUAGGGGGAAGAAAUGUCCCCGGCUCUGUCAGUUGCCCUGACCUAUUUAGUGCUGUUCUGCCUCCUCAAACAAUCUCUCACGUGCAGCUGAGAAGGCCCACGCUACCCAUGAUCAUCUCCCUUUCUUAUUCCUGUAUCCCAGAGUAAUCUGACUGAAGGUUCUACACGUGGGGGCAGGAAUGGCAGCCACAAAAAGAUACUCAGAAGCGGCUUCUCUCUUUCUAAUUAGGCUGUCAAUCUGUUUAGCUAAUAAGUCGUAUGAAGUGUCUUAAUCUCUUCCAAGGAAAGGAGUCAUAUAAAUGCAAAAUAGCAGCAGCCAUAAGUCAAAUGGCUUGCUGGGUAUCUUUUCUUUGUGUGACUAGAAGGAAACUUUCCGCGCCGAGAGGAGACAGACUGGGGAAAAACACACAACAGCAUUUGUUUUUAUUAGGCUGAGUCUAUACAGCACAAAGUAAAACAGAUCUGGCAAUUAUUUAGGUAAUGUGACAGUCAAUUGAGGCAAUUUUGAGCACCAAGAAGGUUUCUCCAGGAAGUGCCUAAAUAUCUGGAUCAGCUACUGACAUUAAUCAAAUUAACUGGACAAUUGUGCUGUGUAGACGCAAACUAAUAAGUGUGCCUUGAAACCCUUCUGAAAGGCUUACAUUUUAUAAACUUAACACUAAAACUGGUCCAGUUUUUAUACCCAUCCUCUUUGUUUUGGCACAGCAAUUGACAUUUCCCAUUUUUCUUACAAAACAUGUCUUACAUUUAGAGCCAGGAAAGUAAGGGUGACCCUCUCCCUGGAGAGUCUUAUCAGGUUAACACACGGAAGCUCAUUUAGAAAUUCAUUAGGUGUCUGGGAUGUGAGAGCUGGUCAUUAUAGAUUAAGGGCUUUCUCUCAAGUAGUAAAGGACUUAUGGGGAAUAAUGGUGAGUCUUGUUCCAGGCCCAAAGAAAAGCCUUGUUCCAAGCUUGUUUGUCCCAGAGAUUGGCACGGCUUUUCUGCCUAGUACAAAAACACUCUCAACUCUGCUAAAUUUCCUUCCUUUUCUUCCUCUAUACAGCUCACCAGAGGUAUGCUAUACAUAUUCGACUCCUACUUGGUGACAGUAGGAAUUUUAAAAAGGUUUUUAAAAGCCAUCUUAUGGAAAAUACGGUCUUCCAUGUUUCUUGACCAAAAGAAUAAAUUAAAAAGAAAAGAUCCAAGUCACCAACAGUUUCUCUUCUGUCCUCCCCUAUUUUUUCUUUAUUUCUUUCUUUUACCAAACAAAAACUUGCCAUUUCCAUGCUUGAAAGACAGUUUUCUCCUUGAAUGACAGUUCUUAGAGAAUUCUAGAAACCACAGGGGUGGUUUCUACUCUAGUACACUAUUAGGAAAAUCAUUUUUAGUUUUCAUGAACCUCCCACAUUGGAUGUUUUUAUUUCUCCAAGUUAGCCAGACUUACAUUCUCUCAGUCUUAGCCUAGAAUUCCCAGAUCCAGUUCACCUUCAGGCUUGCCCCACUUUUUGCCUCUAGCUGAAACUGAAUGGGCUGGGGAAGACCCUAUUGGCUAGGUUUUCCACACAUCCUACUAAGUAUUACAAAAAGAAAAUAAAACUGAACAGUGAAAGUCCUCGGUUAGAAGUUGAGAAGGCAGAGAAAAUUAGACAAGACACGAAUGUAGUGGGCAGCUGUGCCUCAGCCGGGAACAUCCAGACCUACCUGGUUUGACUCGUAAAGUGGUCCCCUGCCCAAAGAUGAGUUUUCCUAUGUCGCUAGAGCCACACUCUAGUGCUGCACUUUACAAAAACUUUAGAAGGAUAGAAUUAUUCCCUCUUCCUUCCCCCUACCCCCAACAACCUGAUUUAGUCCUAAUAACUGAUAUUUACUGAAGACUUACUAUGUGCCAGCCACUAGGCAAGCCCUUUAUAGGUACUAACUCUUUUAAUCUCAUAACAAUACAGUGAAUUAGGUAGUAUUAUUGUCCCCAUUUUACAGAUGAGAACAAUGAGGCGUGAAGAGAUUAGGUAACCUGCCCAAGGUCACACAUCCAGUAAAUGGCAGAGUUCAGUAUGCCCUGCAGUUCAAUUCUAAAACUCAUGUUCUUAAGCAUUAUGCUAUUAGCCAUCUUUUCUAUUUUAGGUUUUCCUUUGAAGUGUGUAUGCCAGUAACAUUGACAAAACAGUUAGCUCACUGACCCUAAUAAAUGUACCCUGAGCCUGUUCUCCGGGAAGGCUCACAUUUCAUCAACUGAACAUUAGAACCGAUUCGGUAUUUACACGCUGUCUCUUCAUCUGGGCGCUGCAAUUGACAUUUCCCAUUUUUUUUCUUGCAACGCGUAUCCUACAUUUAGAGCUGCAAAGGUAAGGUGACCUUCUCCCUGGAGAGUCUUAUCAGGUUAACACACAGAAGCUCAUUUAGAAAUUCAUUAACACCUAUAUCAAAGAUGCCUUUCCCGAAGCUCCUUGGCUCCACUGUCAACUCCUCUACUUCUCCCCGAGCUUUGCCGAGCCUACAACUGCCCUGGGAGCUAGCCCCAGCCAAAGCCACAGCAAACGCUGCUGGGAACAGAGGCUGAUUGUGUGAAGCAUGAUUCCAAACAGGGUAGGUGGUCUCUAAGAUGCUCCUGAAGAUUCUGGGAGAGAAGAACUUCUCGGGGGAGGCCAGAAUUAGGGUGAAAUCAAAUCCUCUCCUGUUACUACUAGCAAAUCCUCUCUAAGCCUAUAAGCCAAAGAGGACUCAGAAAUGCAGUAAUUAUAUGGCAAGUCUGAGUCAUUCUGGAUUGUCCAUGGUGGGGAGGCUUUCUCCAGGGUGGCCACAGGGAUGGCCCAGAGUCCUGGGAGUUCCUGGCAGUGCCUGACUUAUGUUUGGCCAGGGGGAAACAGUAUUUACAAUGGCCCACGUGAGGUUGGCGCAGUGUGAACGGAGGGGGCUGUGCUACAAGAUGCAUAUUGUCACCUUCUCCAACUUUCAAUCCCUAAAGGCUCUUUCUUGGAAUGGGUCCUCCUGUGCUCUAUAUGAAAAUAAUCGAAUACUCUAACUGCCUUCCUACCAUGCAUUUCUGGAUCCCUCUACCAAGUUAUUUUGAUUGAAGGGUAAGCAGGGGCUCAGCUUGGGCGGACAGGAGAAAAACGUGACCCGCAACUGCACAAUUUAAACAUUAGGGCUUAAAAGGGAGACAGUUCUGAGAUAUUUCAAACUGCAGAGACAGGUUUGAGAGAGUUAAUUUGAAGACUCACUUGGAUUUACUGCCAGCCUUGUUCCCAAUCCCCAAAUCAGCUUACGGUUGUUGCCAAUAUUACACAGUCAUAGGAAGCUUUACAGAAACCGACCAGGCCAAUGUGUAUCAGGAAAUCCCUCUCAAUCCCCAAAUCCAGCCAGCGUGCUCCUCCAGCUGGGACCCUGGCCAAAGAGGCAGGGGAGGAGACUAUUUAUUAUUGUGGUCAAUUCAUAGCAUGGUCGGGAUGGAAAAGCUCUUCUCAGAUAAAAUAGUUCAUCCCUCCAUCUUUAGACCGAGCUGCCCCCUGACCGGCAAGGAGUGCUGCGAUCCUGGAGAAGCCACUGGGGAAGGAUCCUCCCACUCCAAUGCCCAGCCAUCCCUGCAUUCAUCACAGUCAGAACUGUCUAGUCCAAUGGUUAAGACAGAAAGGACAAGGAAUCUGUUAUUCUCUAGCCCAUUUUUCCCUAUGUUUGGCCAUCACACAUGUGCCUAUUUUCACAGGUACCUAUGGCAUGUGUAUACACUGUAUAACCAUUAGGAUUCACAAUUAGAAUUAACAGAAAAAAUAAAAUUGGGUGGAGAAAACAGCCCUCAUAUGAAGCUUACUGCUAUGGCUUCCUUUAGAAAUUAGAGCAUUCAUUACGGAUUCAGCAGAGAUACUUACUGGGUUUGACCAUUAACCUUGUUCCCCCUCCAAAUGUGAGCCUGUUGCCUGCAUUAUUAUUCACACAGUGAUCUUCAGCUCAGCAAAAACCUCCUAGAAACUGAACUAAGUUUUCCCUAAAGAUCUUCUGGAAGGAGCGAUACCAUGAGCACAGAGAAUAUUAAGUAAUUGUCAGAGUAAUAACCUGGCACAGAAUCCUAGUGCCAGCUUGGAUUUCAGGACUGUUUCCACAUUGGCUAAAUGAAGGAUAUUCUUUCUAAAUAUUCUAAAGAGGGAGUUUUCCUGCACAAGCCCAGAAUGCUGACUGCCAGAAUCCUAGCAUAUCCUCCGGUGUUUUAGCUAAUAAUUCACCAGGGUUUCUGAAGAUCAUACUCCUCAUUCAGAUAAAAUAGGAACAGCUCAUGUCCAUGGCACCAAGCCAAAGGAGUCAGAGAUUUUGUCAUCGACCGUGGGAGAGAGCAAGGCAGCUGCAGGAGGGGUAAGCAUGUUGGUCCACCCCUCAGGGUGCUGGAGCCAGACACCUCUGACCAAGGUCCAGCCUGUGGAACAUCAAAAGGAUAUUUCCACCUUUUCUCAUUCCAAAGAACUAGAGACAGGAGCAGGCACUGGCCAGCCCUGAAUUCACCAACUCCAACCGCAGACCUUUUCACUCCCUGCUUAGAUGGUCACCAGGACAAGGACACUUCUCCUCUUUGUCCUAGGGUAGACUUUUCAAUUCUUUCUGUCCCUUUCCCCAGGUCACAUAUCUUGAGGAUUACUUUGAACUCUUUCUCCUAUUAUUGAACUAUUUCUCCUAGGUAGCUUCUCCUAUUCUUUCUAGAUGAUCCUUUGAGAUCUCUCUUAAUUUUGAGGGUAACUUGAAGGAAAAUCUAAGAAGGAACUCCAUGGGCACCACUGCUCAGUGUACAGCAUGGUAUCCUCCUUUCCCUCAUUUUGGGCUGCCUAGAGGACCAGGGGCUUAACGAGCAACACUCAGGAACAGGCCAUUCCAGAGGGAAAACAAGAAACACACAGGUAAUAUGGCAGUCCAUAAAUUUCCUACUUGGAUUUAGUCAGUGUCCUUCCUUCUCCAGAGAAUAUCUUCCCGUGGGCGGAUCCCUCGCUCCCAUAUCCAUUACAAAAGCACCUCCUUUCUUCCUACUUUGUUGUUUGCCUGCUGGAUCUCUUACCCAAGCAUCUUUAAUUUUUAAAAAGGCAUAUAAUUUCUCAAACUCUCCCUGUGAAAUUAAGUCUGGUGUCACCUACGCAGGGUGUCCUGGCUAAGACACUGUGAAACUCAAUUUGUUUCAUGUGUACAAGUCUGUUUAUAGUGGUGGGGCCAUGGCGACUGAUUUAUGAACACGAAGUGUAGGUGUGAGCAUGUGUCAGCAUUCAGGGGAAGUAGGUGGCCCGUUUGCCUGGAGCAGAACAUUUGUGGAAGGGAAUAGCUGGGAAUAAAUUUAGAGAAUGGAAAUGGCCCAGGUUUUAGAGAAUCUUAAGUGGCAGGCUAACAAGUGGAUAUAAUGGCUUCUCAAAAUAUGAAUGCCCAGAAUAUGAA